rnacentral:lncRNA from 1 species
GAUUUCUGCUCCAACCCUCCCAACCUCACCCCCAAAGAGACAGCAAUCCAAAGACAUACCAGCCCCCACCUAACACUCACGCCCAUAGAACACGAUCCUCAUUUCCAAAGGCCAAAAGAGGGGGAAAGAGGAAGGGGCAACGCCCAGAUCCCACCCCGAUUCCUAUAAAGCCUCUACCUAAGGUGGGUCAUAUAAAGGCGCCGGACUGUCAGGGCCAACGGGGAGGGCCAAGAGAAAUAGAGACAAAUGAGAGACCUAGACCAUGGAACCUAAAUAAGGGAAGGAGGAGGAAAGGAUGGGUGAAGAGACUGGGCAGUGCAGGAGAGACAUAGAAAAAGGUAAGAGUGGUGGUCCAAGUAGAAGGAGACGAUCUGCAGGAGAAAAACCGGUCCAGGCUUAAGAGAGACGGGAAAUCCUGAGCCGAGAAAAGCAGCACGCAGCUGGGAGGAGUAAGCGUGAGAGCCGGCUCCACACACAUCCCCAAGAUCUGGCAGUCACCUGCACACGGUAGGCGCUUAGGGUCUGCUUCUAUUUGCAGGGAAAGGAGCUGGGGAAAGGUAGAUUCCUCCACAGCGAAAACGGGCAGAGAGGAGAGAUGGGGAGCGGAGGGCGAGAUGGAGCAGCAGGCCCGGAGAAGACGGGAAGGGAGGAGGGAAAGGCAGGGGGUGGGUAGGAGAAGGAAGGGAAGAGGGAGGGGGAGAGACGAGACAGACAGACGGAGGGAGGCCGAGAGAAUGGCAGAGACAGACGGACGGGGGAGGGAGACGAGACAGACAGAAACAGAGAGAAGAACCAGAGGAACAGACUCAACGACAGAAAAUGGGAAGGAGAGGGAGCGGGGGGGCAGAGCGGGGAGAGGCACGGCAGCCCGCGCGCAGCGGCCGGGGCCAGGGGAAGGAGGAGCCGGGCAAACGAGCGCGGCCGGGCAGGCCCCGCAGCACAGGGCAGGGGCGGCAGACGCCGCUCACUCACCGCUCUGCUCCCCCAGGAACACCAGCUUGAAUUUCCUCAGGGGGUUUCCGAAGUCCCCUCCAGCAGACAUGAUGGAGCCGGAGCUGGAGCCGGAGCCGCCGCCUCAGCCCAGCGAUCUCCUCAGGCCCCGUGGGCUCCCCACAGCCCCACACACGGCGUUUCCGGUUGUCUAG